GAUGAAGAACGUAGCGAAAUGCGAUAAGUAGUGUGAAUUGCAGAAUUCAGUGAAUCAUCGAAUCUUUGAACGCACAUUGCGCCCCUUGGUAUUCCAUGGGGCAUGCCUGUUCGAGCGUCAUUUGUACCCUCAAGCUUUGCUUGGUGUUGGGCGUCUUGUCGUAUUACGACUCGCCUUAAAUACAUUGGCAGCCGGCACUUUGGCCUAAGAGCGCAGCACAUUUUGCGAUCGUAGCCCGUUGUACUGGCGUCCAUCAAGAACAUUUACCACGUUUGACCUCGGAUCAGGUAGGGAUACCCGCUGAACUUAAGCAUAUCAAUAAGCGGAGGA
rnacentral:misc_RNA from 1 species